GCUAUACAUGCAAGUCGAAUGGGAAUUUUUGGAUUCGUCUAGAGGGGAGAGUGGCGAACGGGUGAGUAACACGUGGGUGACCUGCCUCGAAGACGGGGAUAACCACUGGAAACGGUGGCUAAUACCCGAUGGUCUCGGUGAUUCGCUUCAUCGAGUAAAAGCUCCGGCGCUUUGAGAGGGGCCCGCGGCCCAUCAGCUAGUUGGUAGGGUAACGGCCUACCAAGGCAGAGACGGGUAGGGGGCGUGAGAGCGUGACCCCCCACACUGGCACUGACACACGGGCCAGACUCCUACGGGAGGCAGCAGUGAGGAAUAUUGCCCAAUGGGCGAAAGCCUGAGGCAGCAACGCCGCGUGGGUGAUGAAGGCUUUCGAGUCGUAAAACCCUUUUCUGGGGGAAGAGGAAGGACGGUACCCCAGGAAUAAGUCUCGGCUAACUAUGUGCCAGCAGCCGCGGUAAGACAUAGGAGGCGAGCGUUAUCCGGAUUUACUGGGCGUAAAGUGCGUUGAGGCGGCCCUGUAAGUUGGACGUGAAAGCUCCUGGCCCAACUGGGAGAGGUCGUUCAAUACUGCAGGGCUUGAGGACAGCAGAGGGGGGUGGAAUUUCCGGUGUAGUGGUGAAAUGCGUAGAUAUCGGAAGGAACACCAGUGGCGAAGGCGGCCCCCUGGGCUGUUCCUGACGCUGGAGGCGAAAGCUAGGGGAGCAAACGGGAUUAGAAACCCCGGUAGUCCUAGCCGUAAACGAUGGAUACUAGGUGUAGGGGGCGAAAAAACCUUCUGUGCCGAAGCUAACGCGUUAAGUAUCCCGCCUGGGGACUACGGCCGCAAGGCUAAAACUCAAAGGAAUUGACGGGGACCCGCACAAGCAGCGGAGCGUGUGGUUUAAUUCGAUGCCACGCGAAGAACCUUACCAGGGCUUGACAUGCAGUAGUAGUGAAGCGAAGCAGAACGAUCCUUCGGGAAGCCUGCACAGGUGCUGCAUGGCUGUCGUCAGCUCGUGCCGUGAGGUGUUAGGUUAAGUCCUGUACGAGCGCAACCCUUGCCGCUAGU
rnacentral:rRNA from 1 species